GACGAACGCUGGCGGCGUGCUUAACACAUGCAAGUCGAACGGAAAGGCCCAGCUUUUGUGGGGUGCUCGAGUGGCGAACGGGUGAGUAACACGUGAGUAACCUGCCCUUGACUUUGGGAUAACUUCAGGAAACUGGGGCUAAUACCGGAUAGGAGCUCCUGCUGCAUGGUGGGGGUUGGAAAGUUUCGGCGGUUGGGGAUGGACUCGCGGCUUAUCAGCUUGUUGGUGGGGUAGUGGCUUACCAAGGCUUUGACGGGUAGCCGGCCUGAGAGGGUGACCGGCCACAUUGGGACUGAGAUACGGCCCAGACUCCUACGGGAGGCAGCAGUGGGGAAUAUUGCACAAUGGGCGGAAGCCUGAUGCAGCAACGCCGCGUGCGGGAUGACGGCCUUCGGGUUGUAAACCGCUUUCGCCUGUGACGAAGCGUGAGUGACGGUAAUGGGUAAAGAAGCACCGGCUAACUACGU
rnacentral:rRNA from 1 species